GGGCAGUGGGAGGAGACAAUUCAGAAAGAUGGGCAGGGCGCUGGUCACUAGGGAACUUGGGAGCAGGAACUGGAUGGAAUGGCCUGGGACAGACCAUGGGCAGAGAAGAGGACUGAGACCUGGGCCUGGAGCUCUGACAUCUAGGAGAGAAAGGGAUGAGGAAUAUUCCACUAAAAAGUCUGAGAAGGAGCAGCCCAUGAGCGCUGAGUCCAACGUCUGCCUGCAUAAGUGAGAAUGAAUAAUGAAUGGAUAAGUGGUGAAACUGAUUAGCUGAAGGUCAACCAGUGAAAAAGAUGAGACGCCUUUGCCCAGCCAAUAAACCAUUUUACCAGCCAACGUGGUCAGGUCUUGCUUUUAUGCUAAUGGUCACUGCGAUGCGGACAGGAGUCACCAACUUCAGGAAGAGGCAACUGCUCCCUAUUUUUUCAUCUGGAAAGGACUUAAGAGUUUGGCCCAAGUUGGCAUUAUGGUGCACCAGGGCCACCACCCCUGAAAUGAGGGCUGGGGGUGAUCCAAGGAGAGGACUCUCUACUUCCUACUGUGGGUUCUUGAGACUCCCCUCCUCACUCAACUUUUUAAUAAAAAUCUUUGCCAUCCACAGAGGUCUCAUUGGAACCUCUCUGAGGGACACGUGCGUAACAACCGAGCAUAUGUAACUGAUGGACCUUGGGGUCUGUACCACUCUGAGCAAGAGCUGCUUUGUCCAAAGCCUGGAUAUUUCCAUUUAGAAAAUAAAUCUGGCUUAAAAGAGGUUUCCACAUGACAGGAAAAAACACAAUCAGUUAAGAAGAGAUCUAGGAAUGUAACUGGGUGUCAAAGCCUUCUUGCAGAUGGAUGGAUUCCAGAUUUUUCUGCCUAUGCUCACACGGUAGGUCCUUCCCAUCUGGGAGACUUGGCAGCAGUGACAACAGAAGCCUUGUCCAGGAAGGGACUUCGGUUCACCUUUUACUUCCCUUCCUGUAUCUCUAGUCACUUUCUUGGACAACAUGUUUUGGAGCUACACAGCAAAAACUCUAAACUCCAAAAUCCCCACUAAAAAAAAUUACUUGCCUACGGGAACUGUAUGUACCAUACGAAGUAGAUAGUCUUUCCAUCCCCUCCUCCACGCAUUUCUUCCAAAACAGACAUCUAAAAAAUCCAGGAAGUCAACAAAGGAACAAAUAAACAAGCACAAACUGCCAGUAAAACCAGCCCAAACAAUAAAACAUCUCCCAGUCUCUAGCCCCCUGUAUUUGAAUAAACAUGUUAAAAAUAUAUUUG